rnacentral:lncRNA from 1 species
AAAACACUAAAAUAUCAAAUUUUUAGGAACAGAGGGAGUACUAUGCUUAAAAAAAAAGCUGAAAACAUUGGAAAAAUAAAAAGCUGGAAAGAAAAAAAAGAAGAGCUGUGUUUGUAUGGGAUGAUGAGAAAAAAUGAAGAGCAGACGGUUGAUGGAAUAUUGUGUUUCCUCAAAUAUCAACACUCCUCAUUAACCCAUUGCUUUUUGUACGGACUUUAUUAGUAUAAAAGAACACAUAUCAGACUGAUCUAUGUAAGCAAAACCAGAACCACCCUCUUUCCAACAUUUUUCUUUCAAAAAUUAUUCUACUUAAUUUAUUUUCUUCUCUCUUUUUUUUUUGCUUGAUUUAUGAUAAUUUGAAAAUUUGUUACUAAUUUUC